rnacentral:antisense_RNA from 1 species
CUUCAGCGAUCCCAGCCACAGGGGCCGGCCCGGUUCGCGGUCCUGGCCGUAGGCGGCCAGCAGGGCGCCCGCCUC